rnacentral:tRNA from 1 species
GUUGCUGUAGUAUAAGGGGUAUUACGAAAGACUUUCACUCUUUGGAUGCAAGUUCGAGUCUUGCCGGCAACC